UUCCCCCUGGAAUUUUUUUCCCCCUGGAAUUUUUUCCCCCUGGAAUUUUUUUUCCCCUGGAAUUUUUUCCCCCUGGAAUUUUUUCCCCCUGGAAUUUUUUCCCCCUGGAAUUUUUUUCCCCUGGAAUUUUUUUCCCCCUGGAAUUUUUUCUCCCUGGAUUUUUUUUCCUCCGGGAUUUUUUUUCCCCAAGGAUUUUUCCCCCUGGAAUUUUUUUCCCCAGGAAUUUUUCCCCCCGGGAAUUUUUCCCCUCCAAGGAUUUUCCCCAGGAAUUUUUCCCCUGGAAUUUUUUCCCCCUGGAAUUUUUUUUCCCCCUGGAAUUUUUUUCCCCCUGGAAUUUUUUUCCCCCGGGAAUUUUUUUUCCCCCUGGAAUUUUUUUUCCCUGGAAUUUUUUUCCCCUGGAAUUUUUUUCCCCUGGAAUUUUUUUUCCCCUGGAAUUUCUUUUCCUGGAAAUUUUUUCCCCUCAAGAUUUUUUUUCCCAGGAAUUUUUUUCCCAAGGAUUUUCCCCCGGGAUUUCUUUCCAGGAUUUUUUUCCUCAAAUAUUUUUCCACCAGGAAUUUUCCCCCAGGAUUUUUUUUCCCAGGGAUUUUCCUCUCCAGGAAUUUUUUCCCAGGAAUUUUUUCCCAAAGAUUUUCCACCAGGAAUUUUCUCCCCAGAUUUUUCCCUCCAGGGAAAUUUUUUCCCCCUGGAAUUUUUUUUCCCUGGAUUUUUUUUCCUCCGGGAUUUUUUUUCCCCAAGGAUUUUUCCCCCUGGAAUUUUUUUCCCCAGGAAUUUUUCCCCCCGGGAAUUUUUCCCCUCCAAGGAUUUUCCCCAGGAAUUUUUCCCCUGGAAUUAUUUUCCCCCUGGAAUUUUUUCCCCCUGGAAUUUUUUCCCCCUGGAAUUUUUUUUCCCCCUGGAAUUUUUUUCCCCCUGGAAUUUUUUCCCCCCUGGAAUUUUUUCCCCCUGGAAUUUUUUCCCCUGGAAUUUUUUCCCCCUGGAAUUUUUUUCCCCCUGGAAUUUUUUUCCCCCUGGAAUUUUUUCUCCCUGGAAUUUUUUUCCCCCUGGAAUUUUUUUCCCCCUGGAAUUUUUUUUCCCCCUGGAAUUUUUCCCCUCCAAGGAUUUUCCCCAGGAAUUUUUCCCCUGGAAUUUUUUCCCCCUGGAAUUUUUUUUCCCCCUGGAAUUUUUUUUCCCCUGGAAUUUUUUCUCCCUGGAAUUUUUUUCCCCCUGGAAUUUAUUUUCCCCCCGGGAAUUUUUCCCCCCAUGGAAUUUUUUUUCCCCCUGGAAUUUUUUCUCCCUGGAAUUUUUUUCCCCCUGGAAUUAUUUUCCCCCUGGAAAUUUUUUCCCCUCAAGAUUUUUUUCCCAGGAAUUUUUUCCCCAAGGAUUUUCCCCCGGGAUUUCUUUCCAGGAUUUUUUUCCCCAAAUAUUUUUCCACCAGGAAUUUUCCCCCAGGAUUUUUUUUCCCCUGGGAAUUUUUUCCUCCCCCAGGAAUUUUUUUCCCUGGAAUUUUCCUCUCCAGGAAUUUUUUCCCAGGAAUUUUUUCCCAAAGAUUUUCCACCAGGAAUUUUUUCCCCAGGAAUUUUUUCCCCUGGGAAUUUUCCCUGGGAAUUCCACAAAGGGAAAUCCGGGAUGGGAUCACGGAGGAUCCAGGGAAAAGGGAAAUGCGGGAUACCUGGGAUUUGGGAUGGGCUUUCCAAGAGUUUUUUUCCAUUGGAUUUUCUGGGAUGGAUCCGUCCCAUCCAGCACCGAGAAUUCCCGAGUUUAUCCAGAAUUUUCUGGAAUUUUCCCCAGAAUUUUCCCAGAAUUUUCUGGAAUUUUUUUUUUCUGGAAUUUUCCCCAGAAUUUUCCCAGAAUUUUCUGGAAUUUUUUUUCCUAAUUUUCCCAGAUUUUUUUCAGGAAUUUUCCCCAAAAUUUUUCCAGAUUUUUCCUGGUAAAAUCCAACCCAGGAAGGAAAAUCUGGGAUGGGGAAAUCCAGGAUAUUUGGGAUCAGGAUGA
rnacentral:lncRNA from 1 species